ensembl:lncRNA
AUCCCAGAGCUCCCAUAUGCAAAUCUCAUCCUGUACUUAAUCAAAUAUCAUCCAUCCAGGGAGGCGAGGAAUAGAAAAAAAAUGGAAGUGCUAUUAGAAAAGAAAUGGUAAUGAGAAGAAAAGAGAUAUCAAGGAACGAAAACAAUUUGUUAUAAAUUAAUAUUACAACCUGGGGAUAUAAAUAUGUCUGGUUAUUGGAACACACAUUCUCCCCCUUAAACCAUUGCUUGAAGCAUAAAACUUCCCACGACAUGCUGUAUUGGUCAAUGUAUCUCUGUAAGAAGGUGCUUUGUAUCUCAGAGGUAGCAUAAGAGCCAUUAGAUGUGGGUGUUGCUAUGGUAACUGCUCUUUUUUUUAAUUGAAUAGCAUAGUAAGUAGUCUUGUAAAACCCACCAACCCGUAACUUGCUGGUGCCCUGAGGCAGCAUUAAUGCAAGCACCUUUUCUUUGUCUUAUUUCCUUCCUAGAGAGUCACAGGUACCUCGGCAUAAGCUGCAUCCUUACAAGGGUAGUAACUGCACCAGGAGAAUAUGUUCCGAUGCCUUUUAUUAAGGGGAUGGUAAACAGAAGGUCGGGUAAGAUAUACCACUUUUAUUCCAGGUUGCUUUCUACAUGAUGGGGUAUGGUAGAUGGAAGACUCUCCCCUUAUUUUCCAGCAGAGAUGGAAAAGCCAAAAUCUUUUGCUAAUGCGUCAUCAUUCACUUCUUUCACACACCCCCGCUCCCACCCCAAGCCAAGGUGCUGUAUUGAAGCCAGUCAGUGAAGCAUCCAGAUGAAGCCUUCCAGUGCACCAGCCAUUUGGAUAAGAGGAAUUUUGUUUGGUGUAAGGUUUACUGGUUUUCUCUUUCUGUUGACACAUGUCAAGUGGUUAUGUGUCAGGCAUGACUCUUUCGAAAUCUCUGAGACCUUCUUCUUUUAUCGUAGUUUUCAGAAGACCAGUGAUCUAUUUGUCUCUUUAGCUGGGUCACCUGCCUGGAUUUUGGAUCUUCCUGUUCUUGCCUCUGUUCAUGUUUUCACUAAAUUACAGGACAAAGAGUUUAACAAUAGAAUUCCUUUCCAAAGCACCAAUAUGGAUCCAUUCUAUCAUACUCCAUGCCAGACAAUUUGGGUAAGUUUUAGAAGAAGCUGAGAAGCUGUUUCUUGUUUUGGUUUCUAUUACACUUCUAUAUAGUAUAUAAGUUACUAAUGUUAUAUAUCCUGUUGCUUUAUUAAAUCAUUGCACCUUCAUGGCUUUUCUUGGUCAUUUGACCUUGUAUGAUACCACUCAAGAGUGGUGUGAGAAGGGAUAUUUGUAUCUUACUCUGUAUUUAGAAGGGGGAAUUCUGUUUUGGCUCUGUUGUGACUGUUAGCAAACCCUGACAAGGGCAGUCCUGGCCAGUUAACCUUUUGGAAAGUUAUGCCAAACAAAUUGCAGAAGACAGAUAUAAAGCACUCAUCUUCAGCUUCCCACUUGCCAAGUAGUUUGUUUCCCCAUGGUAUUUUCCUAAGCAAGCACACCAGUCAGGUACAAGACAACUCACUUGUGUAUCUUGAUAUUUUGCACAACUUUUCUGCUAAUAUUUCCUUCUCUCACCACCUACAGCUGUUUCCCCAAUGCCAACACAUUUUUUGUCAGAUCUGUGGUUGAUGGCUGAAAACCCCCCCAACCUCCAAUUGCUAUUUGUGAUGUGAUUAGACAGGUCAAGUUUAAUUUCAGCACCGUGCAUGAAUCUGUUAUCCAAUCAUCCUAAUGAUACACUACUCAAACCAGCAGUGGGGCUGAGGACAGAAAGAAAACCUUGAUUGUAAGUUGUCUGCCAAUGAUUGGAGUUUGUUAUGAAAGAACACUAACGCAAUCAUCCUUGGCUCCCUUUGCCAAAGGUAGGGAAUGUUCAUAUCUCUUCAUUGUCACUGUACCUGGAGCUGUGUGACAGAUGAGUAAAGGUAUGCCAGAAAGAAUACAGCAUUGUGGGAGGGGCUGCAUUUCCUCAGGGUUAAGGCAAGGGUAUACGCUUAAUCAAAUCAGCACCUUUAAGAAAAUACCAUCUUUCAGCCUCUCCUCGGCUGAAUAUUGCUCUCCAGGUUACAUAAUCCAGCCUGCUGAAUCAAGAAACCACCAGUGGCAGUCCCAGAUAACUUGUUUUGGUUUGCCAUUUCAUUAGUAGCUGCACAUGUUUGAGGCACUCUCAUCUUCAGUGAAAGAUGCUUCCUUGCAGGGGCACAGCUUCCUGGAUGACAUACACGCCUUGCUGCACACCCUGCUAGGGCCUGAGCAUCUCCCAGAAAACAGCCCUCCAGCUAGCGAGAUGUGCUCCUUGAUAAGGGAGGAAUCACUGCCAGAUCAAGAAAGCAACGGUGAGAUGCAGGAACAGGCUGAAUCAGCACAGGCAGAUCAAAACGUCAACAUAGCCAUCACAUCUGCAUGCUAAUGUUUCUUGCAGAGAAGUGAAAUAGCUAGAGGAAGGAACUCUUUGCCUCUAGUUUUCAUAAUGCCACUCCAGAGCCACUCUGUAUGCAUGCUUUGCCUCUUUGAGAUGCUUUGGGAUGUCUAUCAUCCAUGGGAAAAAACCCUUUCUGAAAACAGACUAUAAGCAGAGGCACCAGAGUCAAGCAGGAGCAUCAAACUCUCACUUGAGCACUCACUUGUGCUACAGUGAACUAGAGCCUUUAUUUGUAUCUGUCCUGUGACUGUACCUCCCAUCCCCAUUUCCAAAAUACCUCCCUGUCCUUGAAUGUGCCAAAUACAAGAUUUGGCACUAGGAGCUGACUUCUGUGAAAACAUAAAUUGACAGAUUACCUUCUUUUUUAAGAAGCCCCACUUAUUCCAUUCUCCCCAGAGCCAAGAACUGGUGUGCAGUCAUGUAUAAGAAUAAAAUACCCUCUCUUUUAAAUCA